UGGGGAAUAUUGCGCAAUGGGCGAAAGCCUGACGCAGCGACGCCGCGUGAGGGAUGAAGGUCUUCGGGAUCGUAAACCUCUGUCAGCAGGGAAGAAAUUUUAGUGUGCUAAUCAGCAUUGAAUUGACGGUACCUGCAAAGGAAGCACCGGCUAACUCCGUGCCAGCAGCCGCGGUAAUACGGAGGGUGCGAGCGUUAAUCGGAAUUACUGGGCGUAAAGCGCUCGUAGGUGGUAUGUCAAGUCAAGGGUGAAAUCCCCGCGCUCAACGUGGGAACUGCCUUUGAAACUGGCAGACUGGAGUGUGUGAGAGGAUAGUGGAAUUCCAGGUGUAGGAGUGAAAUCCGUAGAUAUCUGGAGGAACAUCAGUGGCGAAGGCGACUAUCUGGCACAUAACUGACACUGAGGAGCGAAGCGUGGGUAGCAAACAGGAUUAGAUACC
rnacentral:rRNA from 1 species